GGCUCAGGAUGAACGCUAGCUACAGGCUUAACACAUGCAAGUCGAGGGGAAACGAUAUUGGAAGCUUGCUUCUGAUAGGCGUCGACCGGCGCACGGGUGAGUAACGCGUAUCCAACCUGCCCAUCACUUGGGGAUAACCCGGAGAAAUCCGGCCUAAUACCUCAUAGCACAUAUUAUUCGCAUGAGUUUUAUGUUAAAGAGACUCGGUUACAGAUGAACAUGCGUUCCAUUAGCUGGUUGGCGGGGUAACGGCCCACCAAGGCAACGAUGGAUAGGGGUUCUGAGAGGAAGGUCCCCCACACUGGUACUGAGACACGGACCAGACUCCUACGGGAGGCAGCAGUGAGGAAUAUUGGUCAAUGGGCGAGAGCCUGAACCAGCCAAGUCGCGUGGAGGAAGACGGCCCUACGGGUUGUAAACUCCUUUUACCUGGGAAUAACGGGCGCUACGCGUAGCGCUGUGCAUGUACCGGGAGAAUAAGCAUCGGCUAAUUCCGUG
rnacentral:rRNA from 1 species